rnacentral:rRNA from 1 species
UCUGCUCAAUGUGUGUUUCAUUAAUAGCUGCAUCAUAUGUACUAAGGUAGCAUAAUAAUUUGCCUUUUAAUUGAAGGAUUGUAUGAAGGAAUAAACAAGAAAUUAACUGUCUCUUUUUUAGACUUAAAAAUUAAUUUAUAAGUGAAAAAGCUUAUUUUUAAUAAAUAGACAAGAAGACCCUGUUGAGCUUUUUCUAUUAAUUAAUAUAUAGAUUUUGUUGGGGCAACACUUAAUUUAAAAACCAUUUUUUAUAAUUCAGAAUAUAAUCUUAUUAUUUAUCUUAUUUUAUAAAAUUUUAAUAAGUUACCACAGGGAUAACAGGCUAAUUUUCUUUUAGAGUUCAAAUUAACAAGAAAGUUUGGCACCUCGAUGUUGGCUUAAGGUAUCAAUUAAUUGUAGCAAAUUAAUUAGUUGGUUUG